AUGCCCCGCACACGCAGCCACUCCCGGGAUCGUCCUGCCCCUGCCUCCAUCCUCAAACCCAGCCCCCCACAGGGCCCCUCUGACGGGCUCAGGAGCACCCGUGGGGAGAGGGGCCGCUCUCUCGGGCCCGAAAGUCCCCGCAGGCUCCAGGCCCUGCGCUCCCACAGCCAGGGGAAGAUGCCCAGCCGGAGUCGGACCAGCGAUCCCAGCCCUGGACCCUCUCCCCGUCACGGGGCCUCGCAGCCCCCAUCCUCUGACAGACGAGAGGAGCUGAGAACCAAACAACUGCCCCCCGCCUCCCCCAGAAUCAAUGGAGGUUUCUCCAGGAGACAAUCGUCCUCCUGCUCUAAUUCACCUAUCAAAGGGCUUCAGAGCAGCAGCCUCAGUAAGAAGACUAUAGUGGCUCCCAGGCCCCCCGCUCCACGCUCCCCCUCAGUGGGGAGGAGUAGGCUGCUGCCCACAGUCACCCAGGCAGGCCGGCGGUCUCCUCACUCCUCCUCCCCCCGCUCCCCUCACCACCAUGGGCAUGGACCCCGCUCCCCUCGAACCUCCCACGGCCCUCGCUCCAAUGGGCAUGGCCACAGGGGGUGGGCCAGCUCUGAGCGACAGGAACCUGAGGAGGAGGGGCUAGGCUAUAACUUCCAGAUCCUGCCCAACCUGGACCCCCAGAAAGAGCAGGACCUGUACCGCAGCUUCGAGGCUGAGUUCCUGGCUAACACAGGGCAGUGCAGAGGGGGGCCUAGUAGACCCACAGGGGGGGGGACCCUUCAGCUUCCCGCCUCUUCACACCCACAGCAGGGGGUUGGGCCCCAAACCCUGCCCACGCAUGCCUCUGCUGACCCUAACAUCACUGACUCGGCCUACUCCUCCUCCAACUCCUCCAACUCCUCACUCAACGUGGGGAGUAAGGUAGGAGUUCUGCCUGACCUCCGGGAGUCCAAAAGAACUAACCCACGUUCCUGUGGAGGCCUGGAGGAUACCCUGGCCCCACUGCAUGGCCAUAGUCCUGGCGGACUAUCCAACGGUGGGCACGCAGAACCAGAGCACUGGGGCGGGCGAGUUGGAGGUCUCAGGAAGCUCCCUGCCAUCUCCAGUUCCAUAGAGGAAGGGGAGCUUCUGUCCUCCUUGCCUGGCCGGAGAGACUCGGAGCUGGGCAUAUCUCUCAGCCAUGCCCCCUUACAACUUCCUUUCCACCGCAGGAGCAUGAAUGGGGGGGGCCAUGUCAGUGGUGCUCUAGUAGAGGUGCUGAUGGAGAGCCAGCAGGGUCAGCUGGGCUGGGGCUCAGGGCCUGAGGGAGACGUCCCUCUGGAGGAUCACCAACCAAGCUUCCCCUACAACCUGGAGGAUGGAGACCCCAACGAUGACCUCCCUCCCCCAGAGUCUUGUCCCUCGCCCAUCCCCCUGCCCCCCUCGGAGGACUGCUCCUUCCAGGAAGACUCCUCCAGUGAGAGCUCCUCCAUGUGCUUCAGCCUGAGUGAAUCACGCUCAGAGUACUCUCCCCCACCACCUCCCCUGGCCAAUGAGGAUGCUGUUGAUGGGGGUGUAGUCUUCCGGCCCAAGAGGGCAGGGAAGAAGGCUGACAGGGUGCCCUCCAUCUACAAGCUCAAGCUGAGGCCCAGGAUCAGACCCCGUACAGACAACCGGCCAGGGAACAGCCCGUCACGUAUCCCCACCCCAGUCAGCUACAGAGACCUUCAGGCCAGGGGCAACCAUACUCCCCACCAGACGCCCACCCCGCCACAGUCCCCUCAGAGCUCCCAUUCCAACGGCCAUUCACCCUCACGCAAGGCUAUGCACCAGGCCUUUGCCGACCUGAUCCACCCCCAGUCACGCUCCCCCGCCAUGGGUAACAGGGACCGCUCCUACUCUGUGGAGUCAGAGAGCGGCUUGGACACUGAGGCCUGGAUGUAA
rnacentral:lncRNA from 8 species